GUGCUCGCUUCGGCAGCACAUAUACUAAAAUUGGAACAAUACAGAGACGAUUAGCAUGGCCCCUGCGCAAAAUAAUACUAGAUAGAAAUACUAGAUAGAAUU